CAGCGAUGCCGCGUGAGUGAAGAAGGCCUUUGGGUUGUAAAGCUCUUUCGUCGGGGAAGAAAAUGACUGUACCCGAAUAAGAAGGUCCGGCUAACUUCGUGCCAGCAGCCGCGGUAAUACGAAGGGACCUAGCGUAGUUCGGAUUUACUGGGCUUAAAGAGUUCGUAGGUGGUUGAAAAAGUUGGUGGUGAAAUCCCAGAGCUUAACUCUGGAACUGCCAUCAAAACUUUUCAGCUAGAGUAUGAUAGAGGAAAGCAGAAUUUCUAGUGUAGAGGUGAAAUUCGUAGAUAUUAGAAAGAAUACCAAUUGCGAAGGCAGCUUUCUGGAUCAUUACUGACACUGAGGAACGAAAGCAUGGGUAGCGAAGAGGAUUAGAUACCCUCGUAGUCCAUGCCGUAAACGAUGUGUGUUAGACGUUGGAAAUUUAUUUUCAGUGUCGCAGCGAAAGCGAUAAACACACCGCCUGGGGAGUACGACCGCAAGGUUAAAACUCAAAUGAAUUGACGGGGACCCGCACAAGUAGUGGAGCAUGUGGUUUAAUUCGAAGAUACGCGCAGAACCUUACCAACACUUGACAUGUUCGUCGCAACUCUAAGAGAUUAGAGUUUUCGGUUCGGCCGGACGAAACACAGGUGCUGCAUGGCUGUCGUCAGCUCGUGUCGUGAGAUGUUGGGUUAAGUCCCGCAACGAGCGCAACCCUCACUUUUAGUUGCCAUCAUUAAGUUGGGCACUCUGAAAGAACUGCCAGUGAUAAGCUGGAGGAAGGUGGGGAUGACGUCAAGUCCUCAUGGCCCUUACGUGUUGGGCUACACACGUGCUACAAUGGUAUCUACAACAGGAAGCAAGACUGCGAAGUUAAGCAAAUCCCUAAAAGAUACCUCAGUUCGGAUUGCACUCUGCAACUCGAGUGCAUGAAGCUGGAAUUACUAGUAAUCGUGGAUCAGCGUGCCACGGUGAAUGCGUUCCCGGGUCUUGUACACACCGCCCGUCACACCAUGGGAGUUGGUUCUACCUUAAGGCAAGGUUUCAAACCCUUGACCACGGUAUAGUCAGCGACUGGGGUGAAGUCGUAACAAGGUAGCCGUAGGGGAACCUGCGGCUGGAUUACCUCCUUU
rnacentral:rRNA from 1 species